UUUCUCUUCUCUUCUCUCCCGAUUCUCUCGAGUGGCGUGGCGGCAGAGGGGAGAGAGGUAGCCAGCGAUGGAGGGGGUGGUGGGAGAGGGGGAGAGAGCC
rnacentral:precursor_RNA from 1 species